rnacentral:rRNA from 1 species
AUUGAACGCUGGCGGCAGGCCUAACACAUGCAAGUCGAGCGGAGCGGCGGACGGGUGAGUAAUACCUAGGAAUCUGCCUGACAGUGGGGGAUCACGUUCGGAAAAGGACGCUAAUACCGAAUACUAUCAGAUGAGACUAGGUCGGAUUAGCUAGUUGGUUAGGUAGGGGCUCACCAAGGCUACGAUUCGUAACUGGUCUGAGAGGAUGAUCAGUCACACUGGAACUGAGACACGGUCCAGACUCCUACGGGAGGCAGCAGUGGGGAAUAGUGGACAAUGGGGGCAAGCCUGCUGCGGCCAUGCCGCGUGUGUGAAGAAGGUCUUCGGAUUGUAAGGCGCUUUAAUUUGGGAGGCGUUACCGACAGAAUAAGCACCGGCUAACUCUGUGCCAGCAGCCGCGGUAAUAC